rnacentral:rRNA from 1 species
UACGGGGGGAGCAAGCGUUGUUCGGAUUUACUGGGCGUAAAGGGCGCGUAGGCGGCGUGACAAGUCACUUGUGAAAUCUCCGGGCUUAACCCGGAGCGGCCAAGUGAUACUGUCGUGCUAGAGUGCGGAAGGGGCUACUGGAAUUCUCGGUGUAGCGGAUGAAAUGCGUAGAUAUCGAGAGGAACACCUGCGGCGAAGGCGGGUAGCUGGGCCGACACUGACGCUGAGGCGACGAAGACCAGGGAGGCGAACGGG